rnacentral:rRNA from 1 species
UACAGAGGGUGCGAGCGUUGUCCGGAAUCACUGGGCGUAAAGGGCGCGUAGGUGGCGACCCAAGUCGAUGGUGAAAGCUCGCCGCUCAACGGCGAGUCGGCCACCGAUACUGGGUUGCUGGAGCACUGUAGAGGCUCAUGGAAUUCCGGGUGUAGCGGUGGAAUGCGUAGAGAUCCGGAAGAACACCGGUGGCGAAGGCGGUGAGCUGGGCAGUUGCUGACACUGAGGCGCGACAGCGUGGGGAGCAAACAGGG